UUUUUUUUUUUUUUUUUUUUUUUUUUUGCUCACA
rnacentral:ribozyme from 1 species